GAUGAACGCUGGCGGCGUGCCUAAUACAUGCAAGUCGAGCGAACAGAUGAGGAGCUUGCUCCUCUGACGUUAGCGGCGGACGGGUGAGUAACACGUGGAUAACCUACCUAUAAGACUGGGAUAACUUCGGGAAACCGGAGCUAAUACCGGAUAAUAUAUUGAACCGCAUGGUUCAAUAGUUAAAGACGGUUUUGCUGUCACUUAUAGAUGGAUCCGCGCCGCAUUAGCUAGUUGGUAAGGUAACGGCUUACCAAGGCGACGAUGCGUAGCCGACCUGAGAGGGUGAUCGGCCACACUGGAACUGAGACACGGUCCAGACUCCUACGGGAGGCAGCAGUAGGGAAUCUUCCGCAAUGGGCGAAAGCCUGACGGAGCAACGCCGCGUGAGUGAUGAAGGUCUUCGGAUCGUAAAACUCUGUUAUUAGGGAAGAACAAAUGUGUAAGUAACUAUGCACGUCUUGACGGUACCUAAUCAGAAAGCCACGGCUAACUACGUG
rnacentral:rRNA from 1 species